rnacentral:rRNA from 1 species
UACGUAGGGUGCGAGCGUUGUCCGGAAUUAUUGGGCGUAAAGGGCUCGUAGGCGGUUUGUCGCGUCGGGAGUGAAAUCCACUGGCUUAACUGGUGGCUUGCUUUCGAUACGGGCAGACUGGAGGUAUGCAGGGGAGAACGGAAUUCCUGGUGUAGCGGUGAAAUGCGCAGAUAUCAGGAGGAACACCAACGGCGAAGGCAGCUCGCUGGGACGGUACUGACGCUGAGGCGCGAAAGCGUGGGGAGCGAACAGG